AUGAGUAUCAUCAGUUGGAACUGCCGUGGGCUCGGGAACCCCGAGGCAGUUCGAGAGCUUUGUAGUGUGGUGAAGCAACAAGGGCCUACCCUACUCUUUGUUAUGGAAACAAAGAUAAGGGCAGCAAGGGUGGAAAAUCUGAAGCUGACUUUGAGUUUUGAGGGUUGUUUUGCAGUUAACAGUGUUGGUUUAAGCGGAGGCAUCGGUUUGUUUUGGUCAAAGGAUGUCUCGGUUGAUCUAAAAAAUUCAAUACCUGCCACAUCGAUGCAGUGGUGUGGAAAAAGGAUCAAAGCUCAUUCGAGUGGAGAUUCACUGGGUUCUAUGGUGCAUCAAGGGUUGAGGAGAGACACCACAGCUGGUGUUUCCUUCGCACUUUGUAUGCUAUCAAUCAUAACGCAUGGGUAUGCAUGGGUGACUUCAAUGAAACGCUCUACGGGGAAGAACAUUUUAGUCGCUCACCUCGGCCAGAGGGACAGAUGA
rnacentral:rRNA from 1 species